GCGGUCGUGAUGGAAUUGGCAGACAUGCAAGAUUUAGGUUCUUGUGCCGAGAGGCGUGGGGGUUCAAGUCCCUUCGACCGCACCA
rnacentral:tRNA from 1 species